rfam:Ornithorhynchus anatinus Cont589.8, whole genome shotgun sequence.
CGCGGGUGCAAGCGUGUAGCCCAAAUUCGGAUAAUCUUUCCAGCUGAUAACAAGCGAAAGAGAAGCCAGGCGUCAGCCAAAUUAAAGAAGAAAACUGCCAACUCUGAGG